CGUACACACCGCCCCGUCACAUCACGAAAGCCAGUUGUACUAGAAGCCGGUGACUUAACCGCAAGGGAAUAGCCGUCCAAGGUAUGACUGGUGAUUGGGGUG
rnacentral:rRNA from 1 species